rnacentral:rRNA from 1 species
CAGUCGCCGCGGUAAUACGAAGGGGGCUAGCGUUGUUCGGAAUUACUGGGCGUAAAGCGCACGUAGGCGGAUCGAUCAGUCAGGGGUGAAAUCCCAGGGCUCAACCCUGGAACUGCCUUUGAUACUGUCGAUCUGGAGUAUGGAAGAGGUGAGUGGAAUUCCGAGUGUAGAGGUGAAAUUCGUAGAUAUUCGGAGGAACACCAGUGGCGAAGGCGGCUCACUGGUCCAUUACUGACGCUGAGGUGCGAAAGCGUGGGGAGCAAACAGGAUUAGAUACCCCCGUAGUCCCUGUCUCUUAUAA